rnacentral:lncRNA from 1 species
GAACUUUGUCAUUUUUGAUCCUGCCAUGUGACAGAAAGGAGAAAGCUCAAACAGCUAAUGGCCCAUUUGUCUCAUAGCUUACAGCCAACCAGAAGAGAGCUGAGGCUGAUCUAGGAAACCCUGAGAGACAAGCCGUAUGCCAGCCUACAGCUGAGAUCAGGAAGAGGCCGGGUCUACGAAGCCUCAGAGGGAGCCCAUAGGGGAGGCUGAAACCUGGCAGAGAUCACCCGCCAUCUUGCUUCAACACGUGGCAGCUGACUUUGGCUUUAUACUAGACACCAAAGGUCAUUUAAACUACAGCCCCAGUCCUCAGAAAUUUUCCAGUCAGAAAAAAUAAUUAAUUCACAAGACACAGUGGGAAGAAAAGUGAAGCAAAGACUACUUUUGAGUACACAUAAAAUUAUAUGGUAAGAAUUAUAACAAGAGCUGAAGGAUGAAGAUGAGAUCCAAAGAUCAAAUUGA